rnacentral:rRNA from 1 species
AUUGAACGCUGGCGGCAGGCUUAACACAUGCAAGUCGAGCGAGCGGCGGACGGGUGAGUAAUGUCUGGGAAACUGCCUGAUGGAGGGGGAUAACUACUGGAAACGGUAGCUAAUACCGCAUACCAUCAGAUGUGCCCAGAUGGGAUUAGCUAGUAGGUGGGGUAAUGGCUCACUUAGGCGCCGAUCCCUAGCUGGUCUGAGAGGAUGACCAGCCCCACGUGAACUGAGACACGUACCAGACUCCUACGGGGGGCAGCAGUGGGGAAUAUUGCACAAUCGGCGCAAGCCGGUAGCAGCCAUGCCGCUUGUGUGAAGAAGGCCGUCGGGUUGUACAGCACUUUCAGCGAGGAGGCGUUACUCGCAGAAGAAGCACCGGCUAACUCCGUGCCAGCAGCCGCGGUAAUAC